UACGGGAGGCAGCAGUGGGGAAUAUUGCACAAUGGGCGAAAGCCUGAUGCAGCUAUGCCGCGUGUAUGAAGAAGGCCUUAGGGUUGUAAAGUACUUUCAUCGGGGAGGAAAAAACAAAACUAAUAAUUUUAUUUCUUGACGUUACCCGAAAAAGAAGCACCGGCUAACUCCGUGCCAGCAGCCGCGGUAAUACGGAGGGUGCUAGCGUUAAUCAGAAUUACUGGGCGUAAAGAGCACGUAGGUGGUUUUUUUAAGUCAGAUGUGAAUCCCUGGGCUUAACCUAGGAACUGCAUUUUGAAACUGAAAUACUAGAGUAUCGUAGAGGGAGGUAGAAUUCUAGGUGUAGCGGUGAAAUGCGUAGAUAUCUGGAGGAAUACCUGUGGCGAAAGGCGGCCUCCUAAACGAAUACUGACACUGAGGUGCGAAAGCGUGGGAAGCAAACAGGGAUUAGAUCC
rnacentral:rRNA from 1 species